rnacentral:rRNA from 1 species
GACGAACGCUGGCGGCGUGCCUAAUACAUGCAAGUCGAACGCUGAAGGAGGAGCUUGCUUCUCUGGAUGAUUUGCGCACGGGUGAGUAACACGUAGGUAACCUGCCUGUUAGCGGGGGAUAACUAUUGGAAACGCUAGCUCAUACCCCAUAAGAGAAGAUGUUGCAUGACAUUUGCUUAAAAGAUGCAAUUGCAUCAUUACCAGAUGGACCUCCGGUGUAUUAGCUAGUUGGUGGGGUAACGGCUCACCAAGGCGACGAUACAUAGCCGACCUCAGAGGGGGGUCGGGCACACUGGGACUGAGACACGGCCCAGACUCCCAAGGGAGGCAGCAGUAGGGAAUCUUUGGCAAUGGGGGGAAGUCUGAACGAGGAAAGGCGCGGGAGUGAAGAAGGUUUUCGGAUCGGAAAGCUCUGUUUUAAGAGAAGAACGAUUGGGGUAGGUGACAGUUCACGUCGUGACGGUAUCUUACCAGAAAGGGACGGCUAACUACGUG